GAUGAACGCUGGCGGCGUGCCUAAUACAUGCAAGUCGAGCGAACAGACGAGGAGCUUGCUCCUCUGACGUUAGCGGCGGACGGGUGAGUAACACGUGGAUAACCUACCUAUAAGACUGGGAUAACUUCGGGAAACCGGAGCUAAUACCGGAUAAUAUAUUGAACCGCAUGGUUCAAUAGUGAAAGACGGUUUUGCUGUCACUUAUAGAUGGAUCCGCGCCGCAUUAGCUAGUUGGUAAGGUAACGGCUUACCAAGGCAACGAUGCGUAGCCGACCUGAGAGGAUGAUCGGCCACACCGGAACUGAGACACGGUCCAGACUCCUACGGGAGGCAGCAGUAGGGAAUCUUCCGCAAUGGGCGAAAGCCUGACGGAGCAACGCCGCGUGAGUGAUGAAGGUCUUCGGAUCGUAAAACUCUGUUAUUAGGGAAGAACAAAUGUGUAAGUAACUAUGCACGUCUUGACGGUACCUAAUCAGAAAGUCACGGCUAACUACGUG
rnacentral:rRNA from 1 species